rnacentral:precursor_RNA from 9 species
AGCAAAUCCGAGAUGUUGCCUGUCUCUCUAGUGCAUUGUAGUUGCAUUGCAUUAGCUGUCAUAGUAUGCAAUGCAUCUGCAGUGCAAUUAGAGCGACUGGAGCUAUCAACAAAAGCAAA